rnacentral:lncRNA from 1 species
GAAGGGGGUCGGAGGUGCGGUGCCCCCUCCCCAACCCAACCCACUCCCUCCCUGGUGGGUUUCAUCUUUUUAGCUGACAAAGACGGGGAGGGGUGGUGGUGGUGGGGGGGGUUAGAAAAUAGCGAGAGAAGAGGAACAAAGAGGAAAAAGGCUCCUUUUCAGCGGGGUUUGAAAAUGGAAAUCACCCUGCGGAGGAGGGGACGGGGGCUGGGGGCUUUCAAAGCAUCCCCCCUGCCCUGGGAGGCAGGCGGAGAGCUCCCGGCCCCGUGUCCUUGGGGGACAGGGGGUGGCCGGGCAGGACAAGAGGUUCCUCACCCGGGACCCUCAUCUGGGGCCCUGGGGGGGCUGCAGGGGCUCUGGGUCGGUGGUCGGGGGGGGGCCAGAUCCUGCACAGCCUCCGUGCUGGUUGCCACGGCGACCUGCCUCUGCCGGAGCAUCGCCUGCACCGGGAUGCGGUGCGCGGUCGGGGAAGGGGCUGGGGGGCACACAGGGGAUGGGGAGCCAGGGGGUGCCUCCCCCCGGCCCCCCGUGACCCCAGCAGAGGCUCUGCACUGAGCCCGGGUGUCCUUUUGCCACCUCGGGAGGAUGCCGAGUCCCAAAGCCCAAAUUCAGGAGCGAGGAGCCCUCGGCUGCCAGGAGUCCCCUGGAGGUGGGCACCAAGGGGUCCUGGUGGCAGCAGCUGGCAGAGGGCACUGCCAAACCUCAUGGACCACUCCGAGAGCCAGCACAGCUUUGGGGUCGGGUGCCCGUCCCUGAGCACACCCCCAUUGCCACCAUUUCCUGCUGUUUUUUUUUUUUCCCUCCCCACGCUCUUACCCAGCUCCCGGCCAAACUUCCCUCGCUCGGCCCCACGUGCACCGAGGUGUCCCAGUUUCUUGCAGCCCUUGAGCUGUUCCUGCUGCCACUCGCAUGUCCUCUCCAGCUCCUCGGCGCCCGCCGAUGCCCACGGCUGUGCCACUGACCCACUUACACGGCACGUCGGCGUCUCGGAGCUGCUGCAUCCCCAAAAGCCGGCCAGCGCUUUUGGGCAAUGCGCUAUUUGCUGCGGGGAAGGGGACCCUGCGGCUACAGGGAUGGACACAACCGCCCCAAACUGGGACAUCCCACCCGUGUCCCCAACCUGGGCAGAGCUCCGGCUGUGCCCCAAGCCUUCAGCUCGCUGCUCCCCUUGCUAGGAUCAGCUCCUGCCCCUGCAGGAGGCUAUCGAUCCGCCCGGAGCCUCUCCAUUACCCGCUCUCUGACCGUGCUCAGCUCCCAAGCCGGGCUCAGCAUCGAUCUGCCGGGGGCAGAGCCGCUGCCUUUCAUGCUCUUGCUGCCUCCAGUUCCUGGAAAAGCCCAGCUGGGCCGUCCUCUCGCAGCUCCCCCGAGCUUCUCCUCCUCCUGC